GGCGCCACGGUCUUCGGGGUCACAGGGAAGAGAAGGGCUCUCCUCAAGCGGGUGGAAGGAGGGAGGCCUCCCGAGGGAAUGAGACUCCAGGCCACUCCCCCGCAGCAAGGCAGGAUCACCUGCGUCGCGGAGAGCAGUUAGAGGUCCCUGGAGUGGAAAAGGGCAGUGGGACCUGGUAGCUUGGGUUCCCUGCAACUUGGGGUUCGACCUCCAGGCAAUGAAGUAGGGAUGGUCCUGCAAGUCAAGAUUCCAGUAGCAAGAGUGCAUCAGAUCUCUGUAAGGAAAAUAACUAACAUUGCUCAGUUCCCUGUAGAGUUGCAGGGCGCUUUGACGUUAUCUCCCUUGGUUCUCCAUCAGGUCGUAGUGGACUAAUUUUACAGGCGAAGUUAAGUGACUUACCCAAAACCUCACAGCUAAUAAACGGCAGAGCCGGCACCCAGCUGUACUGGCUUCCAGCGCAUCCCAUUAUCUCCAUAAAUCCCCCUGAUUCAACUAAUAUUAGACGCCCCACAGGUAAGAUGCUUCAGAGUUAGAGGGGAGUUGAAGAUACCUUUGCCUUCAAAGAAGUAAGGAAUGAAACAAAGAUAAAACAGACAAUAAAAGACAAACCAUGAUAGGUGCCACGUGAAAAGUGGCAGAGUACUGCCGGGAAUCAAAGAACCGUGUAUAUCUGUCUUGGGGAUAAGGAAAGAAACGCAGCAUGAAGGAGUAGGCAUUUGGGAUUGACCUUGAAGGAGACAGGGAGAGUUUUACAGCAAGAAGGGAUAGCAUGAGAAUAUAUAUGAAGGCGAAUCAGUGAAAGUUGUGUUGGGGAAAGAGCAAAGACUCCAGGUAUGUUGAGAGGUAGAAAAGACAAAGGAGUAUGGGGCCUAAGAUACCAAAUGGAUGAAUUUAUAUUUAAUUCAGUAUUUUGAGUUUUUAUGGUUCAGAAGUUUGGGGGAAGAAAAGGAAGGUUUUUUUUUUCUUUAUGCUAGUGAUUUAUCUGUGAAGGGAAGCAGAAAUCAGAGGUGGAAAAACUGACAGAUCUACUGUAGGCCAGGUAAAAGGUAAUGAUGAGUCUGACCUAAAGGGACAGCCAGGGGAAUUUAAAGAGCAUAGUUGAGAGAUGAUGUGCAUGCAGAAUCUAUAGAAUUUGCUAACUGAUUGAUUAAUUGUGGGUAGGAAGAGAGAAAUCAAAGAAAGUGGAGGUUUUGAGUUUCUAGAUAAUUGCAAGAGAGAAAAGAGACAAUUACAAAGGAAAGGAGAAGGAGCUACUUCUUGAGAGAAGAUCAGUUUAGAUUUAGACAUUUUAAGAAUUCAAAGGGUUGUCAAGACAGCCAGACGGACAUGGACACUAAUAAGUUAGAAAUAAAGGUUUUGUAAUAUGGGAAAGAGGACUGAGCUAGAAAAUAGACUCAUAGAUAAUCAGCCUAGGAGUGAUAUUGCUGUGAGAUAAAAGAAGAAAACAAAGUCAGAAUCUUGGAAAACACCCUCUUCAGAGUCUCGCUGCUCAAAACGUGGUCAGUGGCCCAGCAGCACUGACAUGAGGACCUUAGUUGGAAACUCAGAAUCUCAGGCUCCACCCCAGACCUGCUGAACCAGCAUCUUCAACUUAACAAGAACCCGAAGAGAUUUGUGCCACAUCAAAAAGUUUGAGAAGCUCUGAUCUAGCUGGACCCUGGACACGGUGACUCUGAUUCAAUUAUGCAGAUGACCACAAGCCUCUGGGGUUGGCAGAGCCACAAGAAAGAAGGUGCCUGGAUGAAGGAGAGCUACCCACUGACCUGGACACCCAAUUAUUCAUCUGUCUUAGAGCUAUUGGAAUCCUGGAUCAUUGUGGGAAAUGAAAAGUAAGUAAGUACAUGCCUAUGAUUUGUUGUUGGUAAGUGUGGUGUGGGGUCCAAGGAAUGGUUCGUUUAAAAAUAUGACACUUCAGACCACAUAACUUUUUUUUUUUUUUUUUGAGACGGAGUCUCCCUCUGUCGCCCAGGCUGGAGUGCAAUGGCGCGAUCUCGGCUCACUGCAACCUCUGCCUCAUGAGUACAAGCAGUUCUCCUGCCUCAGCCUCCCGAGUAGCUGGGACUAUAGGUGUGUGCCACCACACUCGGUUAAUUUUGUAUUUUUAGUAGAGAUGGGGUUUCAUCAUGGCCAGGCUGGUCUUGAACUCCUGACCUCGUGAUCCACCUGCCUCAGCCUCCCAAAGUGCUGGGAUUACAGGCAUGAGCCACCGUGCCUGGCUGAUCACAUAACUUCUAACAAUAUUUACCACACUGGACUUGAAAAAUUAUACCUUGCUUUAUAUAUGUACUUAAUAAGCUUGAAAACACAAUAAUACAGUAUACAAAUAAGGUUUUAAAAUAAUUCCUUUUCUACUUUAGUUAUAUAAUUAUUAAUAGAUAGUUUUAAAUUUCCAAGAAUCAUUAAGUAUACAUUUUAAAAAAAUAUUUAAUUUUCUAUUCUUUUCUGUUGUGAAUGGUUUUGUUCCUUGGGCAUAUAGGGAUCUUGCUCAUUAUAACAGACUAUGAGAUUGUUGUUUUUUCCUCUUAAAGUACUGUAGAUAACUCAAUAGAGCUGUGUGUUACAAUUAACCAGUAGAACAUAAUAUCUAAGUCUUAUUCAAUAUAUUUGGGUUCAAAUUACACUGUUAGCAUUUCAAAUAGUGCCAAUUCUGUUGACUCAUUGCAGAAAUUCCUAGAAGGAAAUAUAAAAACAGACAAAUGAGAACUAUGCAAAAUAUCAAAAGCCAUCAUUAUAACAUCAACUUUUUCUGGGAUUUCUUUUCAUAAUUUCCUUUGUUCUAAUUACCUCCAUGUUGGAGUCAUGUUGGGGUCAACAUGAAAGCCAUUAUAAAAAUCAAACACUAUUCCAGUGUUUGAUGCUUUCUCUUUGUAUGCAGUACAUUCCAGGGAAUGGAAGGAAUCGCAGCAGUCAACCUUGGUGUAGGCAAUAAGGGGUGCAUUGUUUACAGAUAAUUUAAAAACAACAAAACCUAUGAAAAGUCAGCCUGCUUUUAUCAGCAGCAAUGACAGUGAUAAAAUACUUCUCCUUAUUGGGCAGAGGCUCCCCAGUACCCUACCCUUGGUGUACUUCUGCCAACAUAAGCUCAAAAGUACUACA
ensembl:lncRNA novel transcript